GAUGAACGCUGGCGGCGUGCCUAAUACAUGCAAGUCGAGCGAACGGACGAGAAGCUUGCUUCUCUGAUGUUAGCGGCGGACGGGUGAGUAACACGUGGAUAACCUACCUAUAAGACUGGGAUAACUUCGGGAAACCGGAGCUAAUACCGGAUAAUAUUUUGAACCGCAUGGUUCAAAAGUAAAAGACGGUCUUGCUGUCACUUAUAGAUGGAUCCGCGCUGCAUUAGCUAGUUGGUAAGGUAACGGCUUACCAAGGCAACGAUGCAUAGCCGACCUGAGAGGGUGAUCGGCCACACUGGAACUGAGACACGGUCCAGACUCCUACGGGAGGCAGCAGUAGGGAAUCCUCCGCAAUGGGCGAAAGCCUGACGGAGCAACGCCGCGUGAGUGAUGAAGGUCUUCGGAUCGUAAAACUCUGUUAUUAGGGAAGAAUAUAUGUGUAAGUAACUGUGCACAUCUUGACGGUACCUAAUCAGAAAGCCACGGCUAACUACGUGCCAGCAGCCGCGGUAAUACGUAGGUGGCAAGCGUUAUCCGGAAUUAUUGGGCGUAAAGCGCGCGUAGGCGGUUUUUUAAGUCUGAUGUGAAAGCCCACGGCUCAACCGUGGAGGGUCAUUGGAAACUGGAAAACUUGAGUGCAGAAGAGGAAAGUGGAAUUCCAUGUGUAGCGGUGAAAUGCGCAGAGAUAUGGAGGAACACCAGUGGCGAAGGCGACUUUCUGGUCUGUAACUGACGCUGAUGUGCGAAAGCGUGGGGAUCAAACAGGAUUAGAUACCCUGGUAGUCCACGCCGUAAACGAUGAGUGCUAAGUGUUAGGGGGUUUCCGCCCCUUAGUGCUGCAGCUAACGCAUUAAGCACUCCGCCUGGGGAGUACGACCGCAAGGUUGAAACUCAAAGGAAUUGACGGGGACCCGCACAAGCGGUGGAGCAUGUGGUUUAAUUCGAAGCAACGCGAAGAACCUUACCAAAUCUUGACAUCCUUUGACAACUCUAGAGAUAGAGCCUUCCCCUUCGGGGGACAAAGUGACAGGUGGUGCAUGGUUGUCGUCAGCUCGUGUCGUGAGAUGUUGGGUUAAGUCCCGCAACGAGCGCAACCCUUAAGCUUAGUUGCCAUCAUUAAGUUGGGCACUCUAAGUUGACUGCCGGUGACAAACCGGAGGAAGGUGGGGAUGACGUCAAAUCAUCAUGCCCCUUAUGAUUUGGGCUACACACGUGCUACAAUGGACAAUACAAAGGGCAGCGAAACCGCGAGGUCAAGCAAAUCCCAUAAAGUUGGUCUCAGUUCGGAUUGUAGUCUGCAACUCGACUACAUGAAGCUGGAAUCGCUAGUAAUCGUAGAUCAGCAUGCUACGGUGAAUACGUUCCCGGGUCU
rnacentral:rRNA from 1 species